UACGUAGGGGGCAAGCGUUGUCCGGAUUUAUUGGGCGUAAAGAGCGUGUAGGCGGCCAGGUAGGUCCGCUGUGAAAACUUGAGGCUCAACCUCGAGAUGUCGGCGGAAACCCCCUGGCUAGAGUCCGGAAGAGGAGAGUGGAAUUCCCGGUGUAGCGGUGAAAUGCGCAGAUAUCGGGAAGAACACCCGUGGCGAAGGCGGCUCUCUGGGACGGUACUGACGCUGAGACGCAAAAGCGUGGGGAGCGAACAGG
rnacentral:rRNA from 1 species